rnacentral:rRNA from 1 species
CGAGAGAGAGCUUGCUUUCUCAGCGAGUGGCGAACGGGUGAGUAACGCGUGAGGAACCUGCCUCAAAGAGGGGGACAACAGUUGGAAACGACUGCUAAUACCGCAUAAGCCCACAGGUCGGCAUCGACCAGAGGGAAAAGGAGCAAUCCGCUUUGAGAUGGCCUCGCGUCCGAUUAGCUAGUUGGUGAGGUAACGGCUCACCAAGGCGACGAUCGGUAGCCGGACUGAGAGGUUGAACGGCCACAUUGGGACUGAGACACGGCCCAGACUCCUACGGGAGGCAGCAGUGGGGAAUAUUGCACAAUGGGGGGAACCCUGAUGCAGCGACGCCGCGUGGAGGAAGAAGGUCUUCGGAUUGUAAACUCCUGUUGUUGAGGAAGAUAAUGACGGUACUCAACAAGGAAGUGACGGCUAACUACGUGCCAGCAGCCGCGGUAAAACGUAGGUCACAAGCGUUGUCCGGAAUUACUGGGUGUAAAGGGAGCGCAGGCGGGAAGACAAGUUGGAAGUGAAAUCUAUGGGCUCAACCCAUAAACUGCUUUCAAAACUGUUUUUCUUGAGUAGUGCAGAGGUAGGCGGAAUUCCCGGUGUAGCGGUGGAAUGCGUAGAUAUCGGGAGGAACACCAGUGGCGAAGGCGGCCUACUGGGCACCAACUGACGCUGAGGCUCGAAAGUGUGGGUAGCAAACAGGAUUAGAUACCCUGGUAGUCCACACCGUAAACGAUGAUUACUAGGUGUUGGAGGAUUGACCCCUUCAGUGCCGCAGUUAACACAAUAAGUAAUCCACCUGGGGAGUACGACCGCAAGGUUGAAACUCAAAGGAAUUGACGGGGGCC